GGUUGGCCGGAAUGAUGAAUCAAUUAGAUGUGCAAAGACACCUUGUCAGCUUAACUUUUGAGGCAUAUUUUCUAUCUGAUCUGCCAUUC